rnacentral:rRNA from 1 species
UACGUAGGGCGCAAGCGUUGUCCGGAAUUAUUGGGCGUAAAGAGCUCGUAGGCGGUCUGUCGCGUCUGUUAUGAAAACUCGAGGCUCAACCUCGGGCUUGCAGUGGAUACGGGCAGACUAGAGUGCGGUAGGGGAGACUGGAAUUCCUGGUGUAGCGGUGGAAUGCGCAGAUAUCAGGAGGAACACCGAUGGCGAAGGCAGGUCUCUGGGCCGCAACUGACGCUGAGGAGCGAAAGCAUGGGGAGCGAACAGG